GAAGAAAUAUGGAGUUGAUUUGUCAGAGGGAGGAAUGGUGUUCUGUUUUACUCUACCAGCAUCUUACAGCCUUUCUGUUAUGACACUUGAAGAAGUUCUCUACCCAAGGAAUUAGGAUUUUGCCCAGGGAUCUAAAGUCUGAAUCCAUUGUGGGAUUCUCUGAUCAGGAGAGUGAAGAUUGUGUUUGUAUCCUUAGCUGUUUUUUGAAGCAAAACUUCAUAAGGCAGAUCAGUAGCUUAAUGACUGCAUAAUUAAUACACAACCACAGGAACAGUGAGAAUGCAGCAAUUCCUACUCUUGCAUAAGUGGGUGAAUCACAAAGCUCUCUCUUCUUCUGCCUCCUUUAUUCCAACCUGAGGAAUAGCUAGUUCUACCAGGAGUGAUACUGUGGGUUACUACACCCUUCUUCACAGUUGUUCUACAGCUUGA